rnacentral:lncRNA from 1 species
CGGCAUUUUCUGAUUGAUUAAAUGUUUUUCAGAAGAUGCAGAUGACAAUAAAUUCAAAAAGAAUGCAUUUCCAUAAUUAGGCCUAACACGUGAUAGUUUUCUAAUACGACAGUCAAAGGAAUUCAAAAUUAACAUACUAAAUGACAUAAGUUGUUGAACUGAAAUCAAAGCUGAUAUAUUUUUAAAUUUAUAAUUUUAUUGUGGCAAAUUGACGAAAACGACGAAGUUUUGGAGAGCAAAACAAGCGAUCCAAAUCAGUACCAGAUCGAAAAUUUUAAAUUUGUCGAAACGUAUUCCGCACUCUUAAUGACGUCACGCGUUAAAUUAAAAUAGUAAAAAUCGAUGGUGAUUAUUUUAAAUGGUUAUUCAUUUUUAAAAUUAUUAUUUUUUUUAGAUAUAUCUUCACUUCCAAGAUUUAUUUAAUAAUGCAUAAAUCUCUAUCGUAGAAAUCUUGUCAAGUAUGAAAUAGCAAAUCGUUGAAAAUUGCUUGUGUGUGUGUGUGUUAGGUGCUGUGAACAUGAAUGUGUGUAGAAAUUCUGUGAUAAAUUAAAUGAUUUUGAGGAUGAUUUAAUUAAUAGAAAAUGGAAGUAACAGAUCCUAUUGAACCACAGCCAUUAAAAACUCUAGAAGCAAUUCAUGUUCGCGGUCAUUUAUUAGAAAGAUUUAAUAAAUUAAAGAAAUGGCAGGAGGAACAACAAGAACGUUUGCGAUCAAUACAAAAACUUCAGUGGCAGAAACUACAAGAACAGGAAAAAUACAUUAGUACAAUUCAAAACAAAAAACUAGCAAAUUAUGAUGAUAAAAAUACAUUAGUACAAUUCAAAACAAAAAACUAGCAAAUUAUGAUGAUAAAAAUACAAACAUUUCAAAUUUUCAUAAUGAAUUAGGCACAGGAUUAUCUUCGAAUGCAACUGAAAUUGUUCAAAAAUCAAAAGAAUGUAUACCUUUGCUAAAAGAAACUAGAUCUAUAAUAAAUAGUAGUGAUGAUAAUAGGCCCAUUCAACCAGGAAUCUCUGCUGAAAAAUCAUUUGAAGAAUUGCUUGAGAAGGAAUUGUUAAAAGAUAGAAGUAUUCAUUUUGAACAACAAACAAAAUCGAUGAAAAGACCUUAUUUGAAAAAAGGUAGUGGUUUGAAAAGAUAUAACAUUAAGGCACCUCAAAAAUUGAUAAAGAAACCAUCUAAACAAUUAGUUAGUAAAUUAAAACUCAAAAAAGAAACUAAACAAAAUAAUUUUCCGC